GCGGAAGAGGGCGGCAGGAGGAGAAGUCUCGGAGAAGACCGCGGAAAGGAGGCACAAGAGGCUGAUCAAGAACCGGGAGUCAGCGGCACGGUCGCGAGCAAGGAAGCAGGUGGGUCACUCUACUUCCCCACCGUGGAGUCAUCUACAGCGAAGGCAGGGUGUUGGCUUCCUCUUCUCCGUUUUAAGGUUGCUUCACUCUUUACACAGGCUUACACGAAUGAGCUGGAGAACAAGAUCUCCCUCCUACAAGAAGAGAAUGAGAGGUUGAAGAAGCAGAAGGUAAGACAAAAGAUUAAGAAAAAUCUUAAUUUCAAAAGGAUUUGAUUCAACUUUAAUAAAAAAAGCUUAUACCACCAUUAUACUUCAUGAACUAACAUAUAUACAUAUUUGCUGGUGAAGGGUUAUAUUUACCUUUGUUUUAUUUGCAGGAAUUGGAAUCAGCAAUUCAUGAACCACAACCAGAAACAAAAUACCAGCUCCGCCGAACGAGAUCAGUUCCUUUCUGAUCUUUAUUUUGUGGUACAGAUGCUUGUAUUUUGUGUUGUUUGAGCUCUCAAUAAGUUUCAUGGCAAGUCUUGUGGUCUUGGCUUCAGGAUGGG
rnacentral:lncRNA from 1 species